rfam:Aedes aegypti strain Liverpool supercont1.276 genomic scaffold, whole genome shotgun sequence.
CCAUCGGCCCUUUUAAGGGCCAUAAAAUAUGUGGAAAAGAGUUAUA